AGAAGAUCAAGACCGAGACGAACAAGGGCGGGCGUAUCUUUCUCUUUUCUUCUCUCUCCUACUGUCUUGAAGAGUGAAGACAAACCCAACUUCACUCCGGUGAGUUAAGAGUGUAGGUAUAAAUACUAUACGCCGGUGACUGUGUGGUGCGCUCAGAAGCCCAGAGUGGGGACGCGAGGUCGUUUUGUACGUUUAGUUCAAAAGUUGUGACGUCACGCGAGGGGAUUCGAAUGAGCCAAUGGGAAAGUAGCUGAAGAAGUGGGGAAUUUGUGGGGAACGACGAGAGCCGCGGGAAAGGUGUGUGUGACCCCAGUGGUGCUUAGUGGUUCAGGGUGCGGGGCCAGUUUCGCAGUGAGUGCGGUAGUGAUUCCAUCUCCGUACCCGGGUGUUCUCUUCUUUCACUUCUCUCUAUUCUAGUCUCUGUGCUGCUGUGUGCUCCUCAUUCUCAGCAAACUUUUAUUUAAGUUACCACCGUCAACUAACUCUAGUCGUUCUCUUUCAACCACCAGCUAUUAAACAUCCACCGUUGAGUAUUAUUUUCACUGGAAAUAAUAUUGUUAGACUCUGAACGCGUCGAUACGACCAAGUUCCCACGUACAGAGACCGGAAAACCUUGUCGGCGUUCUUGUUACUUUCCACCGAUCGCCGACACGCUUCGGCGUUCAUCUUUCCUUAAGUUUUUAUUUCUUCUUAUUUUUUAUUUUUUAAUCAGUAGUUCGUGACGAGCAAGCUUAACAAUUUAUCGCUUUUUAAAAUGUACGAGACGUUGUCGAUUCCAGUAACGGAAUGCUGAGUGCAAACAUACGUUUAUUAGCCAAGAUUUUUUAAAAUUUAUUUAUUGUAUUUGUAAAGAGUACAAAAUAUAAUAAACGAUUGACUUUAUCGUACUGAGAAAUAAAUGCGGGAG